UACAGAGGGUGCGAGCGUUAAUCGGAAUUAUUGGGCGUAAAGCGCGUGUAGGCGGCUUAGCAAGUCGGGCGUGAAAGCCCUCGGCUCAACCGAGGAAGUGCACCCGAAACUGCUGAGCUUGAGUGCCGGAGAGGAUGGCGGAAUACCCCAAGUAGAGGUGAAAUUCGUAGAUAUGGGGUGGAACACCGGUGGCGAAGGCGGCCAUCUGGACGGUAACUGACGCUGAGACGCGAAAGCGUGGGGAGCAAACAGG
rnacentral:rRNA from 1 species